rnacentral:rRNA from 1 species
UGCAACGCGAAGAACCUUACCUGGGCUUGACAUCCCGGGAAUCCCCUGGAAACAGGGGAGUGCCCUUCGGGGAACCCGGUGACAGGUGCUGCAUGGCUGUCGUCAGCUCGUGUCGUGAGAUGUUGGGUUAAGUCCCGCAACGAGCGCAACCCUUUGUCUUUAAUUGCCAUCAUUUAGUUGGGCACUUUAAAGAGACUGCCGGUGUUAAGCCGGAGGAAGGUGGGGAUGACGUCAAGUCCUCAUGGCCUUUAUGCCCAGGGCUACACACGUGCUACAAUGGGCGGUACAAAGAGAAGCAACCUCGCGAGGGUGAGCAAAUCUCAAAAAGCCGUUCUCAGUUCGGAUUGAAGUCUGCAACUCGACUUCAUGAAGUCGGAAUCGCUAGUAAUCGCGGAUCAGCAUGCCCGCGGUCGAAUACGUUCCGGGCCUU